AUUCAAGGGUGUGGCGCGAGCUCCUUCGGGAGCGAAGCAAUUGGAAGUGGUUCCAAGAAAAGCCUCUAAGCUUCAGUCUAACGAUGACCGUACCGCAAACCGACACAGGUGGGCGAGAUGAGUAUUCUAAGGCGCUUGAGAGAACUCGGGAGAAGGAACUCGGCAAAUUGGUACCGUAACUUCGGGAUAAGGUACGCCCUUGUAGCUUGACUGGCCUGCGCCAGGAGGGUGAAGGGGUUGCAAUAAACUGGUGGCUGCGACUGUUUAAUAAAAACACAGCACUCUGCAAACACGAAAGUGGACGUAUAGGGUGUGACGCCUGCCCGGUGCCGGAAGAUUAAAUGAUGGGGUGCAAGCUCUUGAUUGAAGUCCCGGUAAACGGCGGCCGUAACUAUAACGGUCCUAAGGUAGCGAAAUUCCUUGUCGGGUAAGUUCCGACCUGCACGAAUGGCGUAACGAUGGCCACACUGUCUCCUCCCGAGACUCAGCGAAGUUGAAGUGUUUGUGAUGAUGCAAUCUACCCGCGGCUAGACGGAAAGACCCCAUGAACCUUUACUGUAGCUUUGCAUUGGACUUUGAACCGAUCUGUGUAGGAUAGGUGGGAGGCUAUGAAACCGGAACGCUAGUUUCGGUGGAGCCGUCCUUGAAAUACCACCCUGGUUUGUUUGAGGUUCUAACCUUGGCCCGUGAUCCGGGUCGGGGACAGUGCAUGGUAGGCAGUUUGACUGGGGCGGUCUCCUCCCAAAGCGUAACGGAGGAGUACGAAGGUACGCUAGGUACGGUCGGAAAUCGUGCUGAUAGUGCAAUGGCAUAAGCGUGCUUAACUGCGAGACCGACAAGUCGAGCAGGUGCGAAAGCAGGUCAUAGUGAUCCGGUGGUUCUGUAUGGAAGGGCCAUCGCUCAACGGAUAAAAGGUACUCUGGGGAUAACAGGCUGAUACCGCCCAAGAGUUCAUAUCGACGGCGGUGUUUGGCACCUCGAUGUCGGCUCAUCUCAUCCUGGGGCUGUAGCCGGUCCCAAGGGUAUGGCUGUUCGCCAUUUAAAGAGGUACGUGAGCUGGGUUUAAAACGUCGUGAGACAGUUUGGUCCCUAUCUGCCGUGGGCGUUGGAUAUUUGAAGGGGGCUGCUCCUAGUACGAGAGGACCGGAGUGGACGAACCUCUGGUGUACCGGUUGUCACGCCAGUGGCAUCGCCGGGUAGCUAUGUUCGGAAGAGAUAACCGCUGAAAGCAUCUAAGCGGGAAACUCGCCUUAAGAUGAGAUAUCCCUGGAGGCU
rnacentral:rRNA from 1 species